rnacentral:rRNA from 1 species
CAGUAGCCACGGUAAUGCGUAGGUGGCAAGCGUUGUCCGGAAUUAUUGGGCGUAAAGGGCUCGCAGGCGGUUUCUUAAGUCUGAUGUGAGAGCCCCCGGCUCAACCGGGGAGGGUCAUUGGAAACUGGGAAACUUGAGUGCAGAAGAGGAGAGUGGAAUUCCACGUGUAGCGGUGAAAUGCGUAGAGAUGUGGAGGAACACCAGUGGCGAAGGCGGCUCUCUGGUCUGUAAUUGACGCUGAGGAGCGAAAGCGUGGGGAGCGAACAGGAUUAGAUACCCCCGUAGUCCCUGUCUCUUAUAC